UCUUUUUGAACUUUCUAUGUGGUGCUGCCAAGUGGCUUAGUCUUAGAGUAGAAUUUGUUUCUUCUUGAUGCGCCAUGUGUAAUUUUGAUGAUUUAUGAAGGUAUGUUGUUCCAUAUUCCACCAUUGAUGUCUCACAUAAUUGGCAUUAAGUUCGGUUUGUCCAUGCAUCUUCUAUGGUCCAUUAUUAUGUGUUACAAGCAGAACUUAAUGAGGACUUUAUAUGCUUCUUUCCAUUCAGCUUCAGCAUCGGUUAUGGUUAUGUAAUGAAGAGUGGAAUGAAGAGUUUGUAACUCCUGCAUGAUUUUGUUAUUUAUAGUAUUGGUUAGCUACACUUUUCUGUAGUAUCAUACCAGUGUUCAUACGGUAAAAUAUUCUGCAAGCUGCUGCCAGAAAGGAAGUCUUCCCACAUCCUGGUCUUGAAAAAGAUUUGGAAGAUCCUCAAAAUUUUCUGGCUGAGGGUGUCAUUGAUAGAGCAGCAGCUAAUCAUGCGGCUAAGGAAAAAUAGAAGAUGAUGAUUCAUGAGCUGCGAUACCUGGAGGAUUUGAAGAAAGAACUUCAAGGUGCCACAUAUACUUCUGCAGGUUCUAAUAUAUUGACAAUAUAACCAAACUACUGAAAAGUAAUUAGAUCUAAAAAUUAAAAGGAUAUAAGAUAUCCAAGAGAUGUCAAUGGGCAUGGAUCACAUUGCGCAUCCACGAUUGCUGGACACAUUUUUAGUUAUGUAUUUCCAGUUGUGUAUUUCCCGUUGCGACUCAAUAUAGACGGUUUACUCUUCCCUUUGUCAAGACUUUUGGUUCUCGAUAACUUCAGAUUAUUAUCAAUUACUGCUUCCCUUAUCGGUGUUAUCUUCCUCUUAUGCGUGCACACGGGGUGAAGCAGAUCAAAUCCACAUUCUAUUCACUUCUUAAGGCUUUUAUUACCACAUUCUGAUCACUAUUUUGUCUUUCUUCAUGUUGAUCUUCAUUUUGCUUCAAAUUUGAUAAGAUUUGUUACUACAGUGCGACGAUUCAAGAUGAGACGUGAAUCAUUGGCUCUAUUUCAAAAUUAGUGUCAACUGCUAUUGAUUACAGGGAUAUGUUUGUACGAAUUUGCGCACUGUUGUUUACUAUCAUUGAGUCACAGUUGCUGAAUUAGAAAUAUACGGCUGCUGGAACAAGUCUACCGUGUGACAGUUAUUCCUUGAAACAAUAUCCUCAAAAUCUAAUUGAGGUAAUAUUUCACCUAUAAUGUUGGUCACCAAUUCUUUGAAAC